GACGAUGCGUAGGGGUUCUGAGAGGAAGGUCCCCCACACUGGUACUGAGACACGGACCAGACUCCUACGGGAGGCAGCAGUGAGGAAUAUUGGUCAAUGGGAGAGAUCCUGAACCAGCCAAGCCGCGUGAGGGAAGACGGCCCUAUGGGUUGUAAACCUCUUUUGUCGGAGAACAAAACCCGGGACGAGUCCCGGACUGCGUGUAUCCGAAGAAAAAGCAUCGGCUAACUCCGUGCCAGCAGCCGCGGUAAUACGGAGGAUGCGAGCGUUAUCCGGAUUUAUUGGGUUUAAAGGGUGCGUAGGCGGUCCGUUAAGUCAGCGGUAAAAUUGCGGGGCUCAACCCCGUCGAGCCGUUGAAACUGGCAGACUUGAGUUGGCGAGAAGUACGCGGAAUGCGCGGUGUAGCGGUGAAAUGCAUAGAUAUCGCGCAGAACUCCGAUUGCGAAGGCAGCGUACCGGCGCCACACUGACGCUGAGGCACGAAAGCGUGGGGAUCGAACAGGAUUAGAUACCCUGGUAGUCCACGCAGUAAACGAUGAAUGCUGGUUGUCCGGGUCGAAUGAGAUCUGGGCGGCGA
rnacentral:rRNA from 1 species